rnacentral:lncRNA from 1 species
UUGGCUCUUCAUAGUAAGACUACUUAGUUUGGCUGUACAUUUUCUUGACCCCUAGCCAUUCAGGUCCUUGCUGUGUAUGUUGGCUAUUGUAGGUUCAGAUUAACUAUUUAGAGUAAGUUACACCUAAAUAGAAUCUAUCGACCUUGGUAGAAAAGGAGAAGUCUUAUGCGAUUUGCAAGACUGUGUUCAAGAAAUCUCUGACCAGAGUAAGAGUGAAUACUAGAAAAGUGUUUCCAUGAAAUUCUUAAAUGAACUCGAGUCAAGUCAAUCCAGCAUAUGACCGACGCUGGGGUUUGAUGAGUUCUUCAUGACCCCUGUUAAGUCAGGACUCACGAUAGAGGGGUUGCAUCACACGAUAACUAUACCUAGAGGUUCAUCUUUUUUGUUCUACUGGAUUGCCACUAUAUACUGCUAGGCAUCACUGAUAGAUUAUAAGAACUCACUA